AUUUUUCAAAUUAGUUUCCAUUGAAUUUAAUGAAAUCUUUGAGUUCUCAAUAACCACAUCCAAUACAAGCAAUUCCGCUUACCACAGUUGCGUGAGUAUCCAUAACACUUCUAUUAUUAUCCAAAAAAAUUUAACUGAUAACGGGAAAUCGCCAUCUUUUGUUGUUUGAGAGAGAAUUGAUCAUAGAAAUAAAGUAAAUGUGAUUGAAAAAUGUGUAAAAAACGGUCUUAAGGGUCGUUAGUGUUGGAUGAUUUUGCUUUGAGUUGGUGUAGUGAAAAAGUUUUAAAAGAUUCAAAUUUCCCGCUAAAUGAAAGAGCGAAAAGUGAUACCAACUGAAAAAAAUGUUUGGAAGAAAAUUGACAAGACAACCUCGAAGUGUCAUUUUGCGAUACUAAAAAAAUCUUUUUAAUUUAAAUAAUAAGUUUAUGAACAAAAUGAAAGUGGAGAUUAGAUUUAAUAAUAAGAAUAAGUGGUAGAAUACUUGGUUGGCAUCAAUUUGAAUCGAAACAAAACGUCAAAGUCGUAAUUUUUUGGAGUUACGAAACGAUUUAUAUCACAAAUUGAAGAUAAAAGACGCUAUUUUCAAUAGCAUAUAAAAAUUGCUGAGUUAAUAUUGCAAGUUUGUGGAGAAAAGUCUAUAAAAAGGAAAUAAGAUAAAUUAGGUUAUGUUCGAAACGUCAAAGCCAAAUUAUGAUUUAGUGUACAUAAUCACAAAGGAUUGAUUUCAAGUAAACCUUCUUGUUCUACCAGAAUUUGAUUACAAAAGAUUUGUUAUUAUUUGAAAGUUGAGAAACUCCACCUCUACUUAUACUAGUGUACCUGUUCUUCGGAACCAAUCGACUACCAGGUGCAACCUCUCACUCGCUCCCGGAGUAAAAAAAAAAGUCAGCGCGCAGUCCCCCGGCUCACACAUCCACACACGCACACACGCCGUUGUUGCUCCAGAAAAGGAGAGGUCAGUUCGCAUUCCGUCCCACUCGAUCCACCGGAAACGCCGUAUUUCACCUCUUCGUCACCGGACCAAAGGUCGAGAAGCGCUUCUUUUUAUUUAGUAACAGAUUUAUGUCGCGACGUUGCCGAUCCGACUUUAAUUCGGAAUCAAAAAAGAAUUACUUUGUAGGUAACGAAACUUCUCAACUUGGGAGAUGCGUGAAAAUGGAUUAAAAUAAAAAAAUGAAAUUGAGUGACUACGACGGUGGCUGUGGUGUGGUGGUCAGCUCUCUCAGGCAGUUGGUAGCCGGCGGAAGCGAGGCAUUAGUCCUGCUCCUGGAAGGUCGGCGUCCUGCAGAACCACUCGGCAGCUGAUAAUUACUCUACCAUUAACGAGAAAACGUAAACUCUGGACAGAGUUUGAACUCGUCCCAAGAAGACAAUGCUAUCUAUUGAUUAUUUUACCAUUUAACACGAACGAAGCUUCACGAUUCCAAGUUAAAUAUUUAAAUAUCAACUCACCUCUUAAAGAAAUAUGUAAAAAUUUAACCAUCACUUAAUAAGAAAAAAAAUGUUUUAAACUAAUUUUUUAAACCUUUGUUGUUGUGAACCAUUCGAGUCGGUGUCAGAGAGCGAUUUCUCGGGCUUAGCAUGGCAGAGGUGGCCACACAAUGCUCUGGUAGGCCCCGGGUUGAAGUUCAAUGUCGUGUCAAGACCCCUGACCUUACCACCAACACAAAAUUUCAGGACCUCGAUCACAUUUCUUCAUCCUACGCAUUCCUUUUCAAACCUUUUCAACAUCGUUUAAAAUCAAACAAACUUUAAAACUUUAUCUUCAGGUAAAUUUCCUUAAAAACAUUUAAUACAUUAUUUUAUUUUUUUCAAAAAAAUGAACCAAUAGAUUAUAUGUGACCUUUUUAGGUGAAUGUCGCAGGUCUUUGGGAUCAGCAUGCGGGUCAAAAGACAAACUGCACAGAACACACUUCAACUCGCUUAAAGAGAGAGACAGUCUCUAAGUUAAAUAUUAAUUUUUAAUAUUUUCCUUUGUAAUUACAACCUAAUAAAGGAGCAUAGUGCACUGUUGA